UUCUUCUCUCUUAUGGCAUUCACCAAACCUACAGCGCCCUGUCAUACACAUCACUCAUUUCCUUUUAUCGGAUUUAAUCUGUCAGCUAUGUCAAAAAAACGAUCGUCGUUUAAUGGGUUUAGGCACGUAUUCAAGGACAGUUCAUUUGAACUCAAUGGACUUUACGAUGUCUAUCUGCUCAUAGUGGAAGCUUUGCCCGAUAAGAGGGGGGAUUAACCUGUGAGGGAAAACGGAAAGACUUGCCAGAUUGUUUUAUUUCCCUUGAUCAUGUCAAAGUCUAGCUCACUUGUCCUGUGUAUUGUAACAGGUGGGCUAAGUUUGGAUGACAGACGUGACUCCCGCGAGGAUGUUGUGUGACACGUGGUCGAUCAGUCAGCUUGCCAAGCGAUGACUCGGAGAUCAUGCCAAUCAACUGAACACAAACAUCGUUUCAUGUAGCUCUGUUUGGUCUUGUGGAAGGUUAAAAAAGUAAAACUUAAGCUUAAGUGCAAGCUUUUCUCUGAAAUAUCAAUUUCCUCCCACUGCUGUUCUUUGUCAUCUAACUGAUAGUCCCAAUGGGGUCAUGGCAUUUACGGCUAACGGUUAAAAUUUUGGCCAACUUACGUCAAACGAAAGGCUCAAAAUACACAAGCAAUUGACGUCGGCAUUGACAGUUUCACCUGGUGUCAUUUUAUGCUUUCUUGAGGAGGUUAAUUCCUUGACUCAUUCCAAAGCAAAUCAGAAACUUUAGAGAUUUGAAUCUUCAAGAUUUACGAAGAGCGAAGGGUACUAUAAUCCAAUUUAAAAUGUAAAUUUAAUUUUUAUUGAAUUGUAAUUUGAUGUUGUCAACUUUGAUUCAGUACCUUUAUGAGCUAAGUACAUGAAUGAUACAUAAUUACGUUUCAUAUUGUAAGGAGAGGACUAUUUGCCGUUUUUGAGGGACUCAUUGUUCCUCACCAUGUAUGAAACGAGCUUAAAAAAAGAAAGAAGUCAAAGGCUACACAGAAAACAAGCUUAAAUAAAGGAGAUCUGCAGCUAAAAAGAAAAUAUCAUAGAGGAUGGAAAGUAUCUAUUUUACACAGAAGAAAUCAAAUUUAUGUCAACAUCGCCAUUUCAUUGCCGUCAUUUAGAAGCCGUCUAAAAGUCAACGGUUAGUCUUACAAAACAAUCUUGUCUUUUGAGCCAACAACUGUUCUAAAGGUUGCCAUGUGUGGUUAGUAGUCCAUUUCUACCGGAAGACCGAAGAUUUUCAUAAUCACGUACCUAACCACACUGUGGCGUUUUUCACACAAGCUUAUUAUUGUCCAGUGCCGCCCCCAUCGUUUGCCUGGGGAAUGUGUGAUACCCCAUGUAUCAGAAUGAUUCUGACUUUCAAGUUUGUGGAUGGAACCCUAAUGUGUAAAAAUGAUGCAAAUGAAAAACAAUGUGCUUCAAUGUAUCUACCUUUUGAGGUGUGCGGUUAAAACCGUAUUGUAAUGUUCGCAAAUGGAGGCUUCUCGACAGAACUUCAACAUGACUUCUAAAGUUUUGUUUGGCCAGACAAAACCGCAAAACAAAUUGAGUGUAUUUGACUGAGAGCCUGCAGAUCGUAUCAGCGAACCCUUCAGACCAAGGACAGUCUCACAUGAUUGCCGGAGAAGUUCCCUAAUAGGAAUUUAAUCGUCGCUUUUUGUUUCUUUUGAUCGGAGCAACUUGUGGGACGAACGUUUAAGUUCACGAAUCUUGCCUAACUCGACUUUCUGAUGUGUUCCAAACGGCGUUGAACGGUCAUCGCAAGUUCGCGACAACAAUGCCGGAGCAUAAUUCUUGGAAUUAAAGAAAUCUUACUCUGUGAACAUAAAUCCUAAACAGAGAAACUUUUUUCCUGAAACUGCAGAAAUAUAUGCACGUAAACGGUAGUAGUGUCGAUCAACUCAUCUUUGUAGAUCUUUGAGAGUCAUGUACAAGCAUUGCGCACGUUUGAAAACAAGUAUAUAGCGAUGCAAUUUAGGUGAGAAGAAACUGAGUUGUAUUUACUUAUAUUUUGUUUAACGAUCGAAAUGAGAAGAAGUUACCCUAUCGUUGAAGCUGUCCCUGAAAUAUAGCAGGCACCAAAUAGGACAGCAUGGAUAAUAUUGUGAGCUCGUUUUCGAUAUAUUUUGUGUCGUACUUUAGUUUCAGUGAAUGAAAAUGAAACGUGUAUUAAAGUGAGUUAGGUUCAUCUGGCCAACCCAAAGAUUCAUUCUUUACCUUUUGUGCUAUAACAGAGAAGAAAUAAAGGACUUCGCCAGAGUAUUUCCCUCAUACCUGCACGAAUUUUCGCACAACAUGCAUGCAGGGAUUAUUAAUCCGUAGCAUGUUUCGAAUUCAUGCGGAGUAUAUUACUCCUUACCGGUGUUAAUUCGUUGUUUUUUAAGAAGGAU
rnacentral:lncRNA from 1 species